rnacentral:rRNA from 1 species
GAACUGAAGAGUUUGAUCAUGGCUCAGAUUGAACGCUGGCGGCAGGCCUAACACAUGCAAGUCGAGCGGAUGAGAAGAGCUUGCUCUUCGAUUCAGCGGCGGACGGGUGAGUAAUGCCUAGGAAUCUGCCUGGUAGUGGGGGACAACGUUUCGAAAGGAACGCUAAUACCGCAUACGUCCUACGGGAGAAAGCAGGGGACCUUCGGGCCUUGCGCUAUCAGAUGAGCCUAGGUCGGAUUAGCUAGUUGGUGAGGUAAUGGCUCACCAAGGCGACGAUCCGUAACUGGUCUGAGAGGAUGAUCAGUCACACUGGAACUGAGACACGGUCCAGACUCCUACGGGAGGCAGCAGUGGGGAAUAUUGGACAAUGGGCGAAAGCCUGAUCCAGCCAUGCCGCGUGUGUGAAGAAGGUCUUCGGAUUGUAAAGCACUUUAAGUUGGGAGGAAGGGCAUUAACCUAAUACGUUAGUGUUUUGACGUUACCGACAGAAUAAGCACCGGCUAACUCUGUGCCAGCAGCCGCGGUAAUACAGAGGGUGCAAGCGUUAAUCGGAAUUACUGGGCGUAAAGCGCGCGUAGGUGGUUUGUUAAGUUGGAUGUGAAAGCCCCGGGCUCAACCUGGGAACUGCAUCCAAAACUGGCAAGCUAGAGUACGGUAGAGGGUGGUGGAAUUUCCUGUGUAGCGGUGAAAUGCGUAGAUAUAGGAAGGAACACCAGUGGCGAAGGCGACCACCUGGACUGAUACUGACACUGAGGUGCGAAAGCGUGGGGAGCAAACAGGAUUAGAUACCCUGGUAGUCCACGCCGUAAACGAUGUCAACUAGCCGUUGGAAUCCUUGAGAUUUUAGUGGCGCAGCUAACGCAUUAAGU